rnacentral:rRNA from 1 species
AUUGAACGCUGGCGGCAGGCCUAACACAUGCAAGUCGAGCGGGGUUUUCGGACCUAGCGGCGGACGGGUGAGUAAUGCGUAGGAAGCUACCCGAUAGAGGGGGAUACCAGUUGGAAACGACUGUUAAUACCGCAUAAUGUCUACGGACCAAAGUGUGGGACUUUCGGGCCACAUGCUAUCGGAUGCGCCUACGUGGGAUUAGCUAGUUGGUGAGGUAAUGGCUCACCAAGGCGACGAUCCCUAGCUGGUUUGAGAGGAUGAUCAGCCACACUGGAACUGAGAAACGGGCCAGACUCCUACGAGAGGCAGCAGUGGGGAAUAUUGGACAAUGGGCGCAAGCCUGAUUCAGCCAGGCCGCGUGUGUGAAGAAGGCCUUCGGGUUGUAAAGCACUUUCAGUAGGGAGGAAGCGUUGUGUGUUAAUAGUACACAGCGUUGACGUUACCUACAGAAGAAGCACCGGCUAACUCUGUGCCAGCAGCCGCCGUAACAC